GCCGGCUGCCUCCCCCUCUCUCCCUCUGUGUUGCCGUGAUAGCCCAGCCGGCCGAAGCAAGCGACACAGAGGAAGAAGCCAGGAAGAAGAAGAAGGAAGAAAAGGAAAGAAAAGAAAGAGAGAAAAGAAAAGAAAAAAGAAAGAAAAGGAAAAAAAAAAAGAGGAAAAAGUUGGAAAUUUCGGAAUUUCAUUGGAUUCAUCGUCAAACUUUCGAAGGUGAAUUCUCGGUGGUACUAUUUCCGGACGUUCUUGAUCGAAUUUUCUUCAUCGUCGGUAAAGGCAAGUGAAUGUAUUGUAUGACUAUGCUUUAACCUAAUAUUGGGUUGCCUACAUUCUUUAAUUACAGUGCAUUCAUCUAAUCUGAAUGACUGAUUCUGGGCUGAGUACUAUGUUGUUUACGUUUCCAGAAGUUUACUCGAUGAUUGAUUUAUGAAGUGCAGUAGGCACGAUAUGCCAUUCUGCAGUUGUUCA